AGCGAACGCUGGCGGCAGGCUUAACACAUGCAAGUCGAGCGGGCAUAGCAAUAUGUCGGCGGCAGACGGGUGAGUAACGCGUGGGAACGUACCUUUUGGUUCGGAACAACUGAGGGAAACUUCAGCUAAUACCGGAUAAGCCCUUACGGGGAAAGAUUUAUCGCCGAAAGAUCGGCCCGCGUCUGAUUAGCUAGUUGGUGAGGUAAUGGCUCACCAAGGCGACGAUCAGUAGCUGGUCUGAGAGGAUGAUCAGCCACAUUGGGACUGAGACACGGCCCAAACUCCUACGGGAGGCAGCAGUGAGGAAUAUUGGACAAUGGGCGCAAGCCUGAUCCAGCCAUGCCGCGUGAGUGAUGAAGGCCCUAGGGUUGUAAAGCUCUUUUGUGCGGGAAGAUAAUGACGGUACCGCAAGAAUAAGCCCCGGCUAACUUCGUG
rnacentral:rRNA from 1 species